AGAACACAGAUGAGCCCUGAAUACUUACUUCCUGUUUGUCUUCUUUUAAGGCUGUGUGUGACAUCUGCUGUGCUGGCUGCACACAAAGUUUCUUCUCAGCCUUGGAAAAGGCCCCGCACAGGCAAGAGGAAGGAAACCAUAAAUCCUCCACACUGGAAAAGAAAUGUUUACUUUGUAAAGAUAGUGUCCAGAACAGAAGAAAACAACACACAAACUGGAAAGCGUGUUCAUCUAUUCAUGCCGCGUGGACGGGGAGGAGGCUAUCCUUCU